rnacentral:rRNA from 1 species
CACGUAGGGUGCGAGCGUUGUCCGGAAUUAUUGGGCGUAAAGAGCUCGUAGGCGGUGUGUCGCGUCGGCCCGUGAAAACCUGCAGCUUAACUGUGGGCGUGCGGUCGAUACGGGCAUCACUGGAGUUCGGCAGGGGAGACUGGAAUUCCUGGUGUAGCGGUGAAAUGCGCAGAUAUCAGGAGGAACACCGGUGGCGAAGGCGGCGACCUGGGUCGAGACUGACGCUGAGGCGCGAAAGCGUGGGGAGCAAACAGG